rnacentral:lncRNA from 1 species
GCAGUGCCAAGGGAAAUGAAUAUGAAAGGAAGCUCAGAGUUGUGAAGCCUGAGGUGACAGGCACAGGACAAGGAAGCCACAGACAUCAAAGCCCGAGCCAAGGCUAUGCUCAUCUGUGGAUCCUUGGCCAACUUCCAGGGGAAAUAGAAGGAGAAGGGGAUGUCGAUGGAGCCACCCUGGACUCCAGAGCAGCGUUCAGACUGCUGAGAAGGAUCUGGAGUGAAUUCAGAACUCUUCAGCUGGGGAACAGUGGUAAUGAAGUGUUCCUGCAAAACAGACUGCUGAGAAGGAUCUGACUGU